AUUUUCCACCAGCUGUCUUUAUAAUAAUGAAAGCCUGUUCUACCUCCUAGAAGGGCUACAACCUGAGUGGGAGUUUGAGUAAAAGUUCCAGGCCACUGAGGUGGGGUUGGAAUGGCUCCCUGAGAAUUAACUGCAGCUCUGAUUGCCAGCAUUGGAUUGGCCUGAGAUUCUUAUCUUUGAUUACCCCCUCAUUAGAGAAUCGUAGUGGUGUAGCCAUGCCUUCAGCAUAGCAUGCUGGGAAAGGGGCUUCUUUGUGUCAAGCAGCUGAGACAUGAGCCAGGGGGUUUUAAGUUUUCAUAUAUUCCGUGGAUAUCUGCAUAAAAAUUAGACAUUCCUUCAAGUAAAAAUGGUGCUCCAUGAAAAAGUGGUUUUCCCUUUGAUGUUCUAUUUAUCCAGGAAAAACUAGAUUGUCCUAACUUAAUGUGCUAGGUUCAAGCCAAGCCUAAGUUUCUGGACCUUCGUAAGUGACCAAGAUCCACUCCCUGCCUCCAAAGAGCUCAAAUUCUUCUAGGCAUUUGGUGAUAGAGAAUAUAGGUACUACACUGAAAGAAUUAGUUCUCCUUAUCCUGGUUCAGCAAAAAUGUUCAUUGGCUUUAACUAGGAUCUUAAGGGAUGCUAGGGAAGUUGCCAGAAAGGAGUAACACAAUGGUUGACAUGAGAUACCAGCUCUGAG
rnacentral:lncRNA from 1 species